GAUAAACGCUGGCGGUCUGCAUAACACAUGCAAGUCGAACGAAGCUCUUUGGAGCUUAGUGGCGGACGGUGAGUAACGCGUGAGGAUCUGCCUUUAGGACUGGGACAACGAUCGGAAACGAUCGCUAAUUCCAGAUAUGCAGUUAGUGAAACGGAGCAAAUCCGCCUAAAGAUGAACUCGCGUCCGAUUAAGCUAAGUUGGUAGUGUAAGGGACUACCAAGGCAAACGAUCGGUAGCUGGU
rnacentral:rRNA from 1 species